CCUACGGGAGGCAGCAGUGGGGAAUUUUGGACAAUGGGCGCAAGCCUGAUCCAGCUAUUCCGCGUGUGGGAUGACGGCCCUCGGGUUGUAAACCACUUUAGUAGAGAACGUAAAGGAGCUAUCGAAUAAAUAGCUCUGCUUACGGUACUCUAAGAAUAAGCACCGGCUAACUACGUGCCAGCAGCCGCGGUAAUACGUAGGGUGCGUGCGUUAAUCGGAAUUACUGGGCGUAAAGGGUGUGCAGGUGGCUGAAUAAGAUAGAUGUGAAAUCGCCGGGCUUAACCCGGGAAUCGCAUAUGUUACUGCUUGACUAGAGAGCGUAAGAGGGAGGUGGAAUGCGGCGUGUAGCAGUGAAAUGCGUAGAUAU
rnacentral:rRNA from 1 species